rnacentral:rRNA from 1 species
GUGAAUCAUCGAAUCUUUGAACGCAUCUUGCGCUCCUUGGUAUUCCGAGGAGCAUGCCUGUUUGAGUGUCAUUAUAUUCUCGACUCUCCAAUACUUUGUUGUAAAGGAGAGCUUGGAUUGUGGAGGUUUGCUGGCUCCUUACUUGGGGUCAGCUCCUCUGAAAUGCAUUAGCGGAAUCGUCUGCGAUCUGCCACAAGUGUGAUAACUUAUCUACACUGGCGAGGGGAUUGCUUUCUGAUGUUCAGCUUCUAAUCGUCUAAGGACAAUUUCUUGAAUGCUUGACCUCAAAUCAGGUAGGACUACCCGCUGAACUUAA